rnacentral:rRNA from 1 species
UACGUAGGGUGCAAGCGUUGUCCGGAAUUAUUGGGCGUAAAGAGCUCGUAGGCGGUCUGUCGCGUCUGCCGUGAAAACCCGAGGCUUAACCUCGUGGCUUGCGGUGGAUACGGGCAGACUAGAGGUAGGUAGGGGAGAAUGGAAUUCCCGGCGUAGCGGUGAAAUGCGCAGAUAUCGGGAGGAACACCGGUGGCGAAGGCGGUUCUCUGGGCAUUACCUGACGCUGAGGAGCGAAAGUGUGGGGAGCGAACAGG